UACGAAGGGGGCUAGCGUUGCUCGGAAUCACUGGGCGUAAAGCGCACGUAGGCGGAUUGUUAGGUCAGGGGUGAAAUCCUGGAGCUCAACUCCAGAACUGCCUUUGAUACUGGCGAUCUCGAGUCCGGGAGAGGUGAGUGGAACUGCGAGUGUAGAGGUGAAAUUCGUAGAUAUUCGCAAGAACACCAGUGGCGAAGGCGGCUCACUGGCCCGGUACUGACGCUGAGGUGCGAAAGCGUGGGGAGCAAACAGG
rnacentral:rRNA from 1 species